rnacentral:rRNA from 1 species
AGAGAUAGAAAGUUACUUCGGUACAUCGGUGACAGGUGGUGCAUGGUUGUCGUCAGCUCGUGUCGUGAGAUGUUGGGUUAAGUCCCGCAACGAGCGCAACCCCUAUUGUUAGUUGCCAUCAUUCAGUUGGGCACUCUAGCGAGACUGCCGGUAAUAAACCGGAGGAAGGUGGGGAUGACGUCAAAUCAUCAUGCCCCUUAUGACCUGGGCUACACACGUGCUACAAUGGUUGGUACAACGAGUUGCGAGUCGGUGACGGCGAGCUAAUCUCUUAAAGCCAAUCUCAGUUCGGAUUGUAGGCUGCAACUCGCCUACAUGAAGUCGGAAUCGCUAGUAAUCGCGGAUCAGCACGCCGCGGUGAAUACGUUCUCGGGGUUU